AUAUUGGUCAAUGGGCGAGAGCCUGAACCAGCCAAGUAGCGUGAAGGAUGACUGCCCUAUGGGUUGUAAACUUCUUUUAUAAAGGAAUAAAGUCGGGUAUGUAUACCCGUUUGCAUGUACUUUAUGAAUAAGGAUCGGCUAACUCCGUGCCAGCAGCCGCGGUAAUACGGAGGAUCCGAGCGUUAUCCGGAUUUAUUGGGUUUAAAGGGAGCGUAGAUGGAUGUUUAAGUCAGUUAUGAAAGUUUGCGGCUCAACCGUAAAAUUGCAGUUGAUACUGGAUAUCUUGAGUGCAGUUGAGGCAGGCGGAAUUCGUGGUGUAGCGGUGAAAUGCUUAGAUAUCACGAAGAACUCCGAUUGCGAAGGCAGCCUGCUAAGCUGCAACUGACAUUGAGGCUCGAAAGUGUGGGUAUCAAACAGG
rnacentral:rRNA from 1 species